rnacentral:rRNA from 1 species
GACGAACGCUGGCGGCGUGCUUAACACAUGCAAGUCGAACGGAAAGGCCCUGCUUUUGUGGUGUGCUCGAGUGGCGAACGGGUGAGUAACACGUGAGUAACCUGCCCUUGACUUUGGGAUAACUUCAGGAAACUGGGGCUAAUACCGGAUAGGAGCUCCUGCUGCAUGGUGGGGGUUGGAAAGUUUCGGCGGUUGGGGAUGGACUCGCGGCUUAUCAGCUUGUUGGUGGGGUAGUGGCUUACCAAGGCUUUGACGGGUAGCCGGCCUGAGAGGGGGACCGGCCACAAUGGGACUGAGAUACGGCGCAGACGCCUACGGGAGGCAGCAGGGGGGAAUAUUGCACAAUGGGCGGAAGCCUGAUGCAGCAACGCCGCGUGCGGGAUGACGGCCUGCGGGUUGUAAACCGCUUUCGCCUGUGACGAAGCGGGAGUGACGGUAAUGGGUAAAGAAGCACCGGCUAACUACGUG